UUGAACGCUGGCGGCAUGCCUUACACAUGCAAGUCGAACGGCAGCACGGAGCUUGCUCUGGUGGCGAGUGGCGAACGGGUGAGUAAUAUAUCGGAACGUACCCUGGAGUCGGGGGAUAACGUAGCGAAAGUUACGCUAAUACCGCAUACGAUCUAAGGAUGAAAGUCGGGGGGAUCGCAAGACCUCAUGCUCCUGGAGCGGCCGAUAUCUGAUUAGCUAGUUGGUGGGGUAAAGGCCCACCAAGGCAUCGAUCAGUAGCUGGUCUGAGAGGACGACCAGCCACACUGGAACUGAGACACGGUCCAGACUCCUACGGGAGGCAGCAGUGGGGAAUUUUUGGACAAUGGGGGGCAACCCUGAUCCUAGCAAUGCCGCGUGAGUGAAGAAGGCCUUCGGGUUGUAAAGCUCUUUUGUCAGGGAAGAAAAGGCUGCGGAUUAAUACCUGCGGCUCAUGACGGUACCUGAAGAAUAAGCACCGGCUAACUACGUG
rnacentral:rRNA from 1 species